AUGUUGCGUUCGAAAAUAUAUGCGCCGAGGGAUGAUAUGAGCGCGGGGGGAACGUUACAUUUUCGCAGUUCGGCUUCGGAGGGUUCUUCAAUUUUUUUUCUUUUGUUGAUUUGUUGCAAGGUUGUUGUUGAGUCUGUGAAGUCGGGGGCGGAUGGUGACUUUCCGGAGGAGUGCGGUUCGAGAUUAACGUUAGAGAUUCGUAGGCUUCAGAUCGAAUUCUUUUUCUUAUAUAAAACAACAACAAAAAUUGUACAAGUUGUUAUGUUAUAA